CUAUUUUUAUUUUGUUAAGGAGAAAGGGACGCCUUGAUUGUCGUAUUGAUUUUGUUUUCUUUUUGUUCCAACAGAUGGAAACUGAUGAAGAGCUGGAAGGAGCUAACUGAUGAGUAGACAUUACAACAUUUCUUAUAUUUUCAAGAUGAAGCUGAAAGUCCCAUGCAGGAUGAUGCUUCUCUACAGUGGAUGAUGAAAGCAUGCUGAUUACAAACCCAGGAGAGGAAUAAAGAACAGAUAUUGACAGAAUCAUAUCUAGAGAUGUGGGCCUACUGCACUUCAUACAAGCAAGUGUGCUAAUAUACCAUACUUGGGUUAUCAUCACAGCCCUUUCUUCUGAAAACUAGCCUACAACUUCAUCGUUGAAUGCAGAAGACAUCUACAUGGGACUACGUCUUAAAGAUGCCCCCUCAUAUAAUGAAAGAGGACAGUAGAGAUGGGCUUAAUCUUGAAUAUUUACAU